GUACAUGUCAAUCUCACAGCUUUUUUUUACCUUGACCUCAUUUUCCCGAUUUAUUUGUAAAUGUUGAGUUUUCAUGGUUAAGUUUGUUUCUUUGAUACUAUGAGCAUUAAGUCAACUAUAUUUAAUGCAGAUUGUUAGGUGAACUUUUGUCUGGCAUGGUUCACCCAACCCUGAUUUCAUUUUCAUUGUUCAUUGGACAAUGUUAAGUUUUCUUGGUAAAGUUGUUUCUUAGAAACUAUAAGCAAUAUGUCAAGUGUAUUCGGUGUAUUUAAAAUCAUUGUAAAGUUUUUCUUGUUUGGUAAUUUUGACCUCACCCUGAUUUUCUUUAAAAAUGUAAAGGUUGUGAUACUUGUAGCAAAGCUUUAUACAAUGUAUUUAGGAAUAUCAACAUAAAUUCAAGUAAAGACGACGAGACAGAUCAGUGUGAAUACUCUUGUCCAUAUAUAAUGUAAACUUUGGCUGUUUUUCCUUGGGAUGUACCAAGAACAAUAAAUUGAAUGCAACAUGUUCUUCAAGUUUUCAAUAAACAAGUUGAAAAUCUAAAGUAAUUCCCUCAGAUCCUCUGUAGUGGUAUUAUGUUUUAUUUUCAAUAGAUAAGAUUUAAUAGAUUUAUUCGAUUCAUUUAUUUAGUUUUUUUUUUUUUUUAAAUCUAACUAUUCUUCUCUGCAUGGUAUAGCAGCUCAAGAUUGCUCCAACUACUCCAACCUAUCUUGAAUAUUUGUGGGAUUGUGUGGGUCUAUGGGACAAGAGCAAUACAUACAAGAAACAUGGAAUUAGCUAUAAACCAAAAAUAAGAUGGAACUUUUAGAUUCAACAUCAUAAGAUAAGGCUAUCAUCAAGCAACUACACCAUACAUCAUUCUAUAACUUUCCACAAGUAUUCACCUUUUCCUCACACCACACAUCAAGUCUCUAAAAUCGUCUAUUUUGAG
rnacentral:lncRNA from 1 species